GUUUGGAUGGUCAAAACCGAUUCUGCAGCAACACACGACACCUGCUGGGCAAGGAAGCCACUAAAAGGAGACACCUCUGCAGGAUGGGCUAUGAGGUGGUGCAGAUUCCUUACUUCGAUUUCGAGCGGAUGAGAACUCGUAAGGAACAAGUCAAAUACCUUCACAACAAGAUCUUUCCAACCAUCUUCAAGUUCAGUCACCAAUCCCAAUGACCCAUCAAGGACAUUAACUGUUGACAUACACCAAAUCUAACAACCUUCCUAAUGUAUUCACAGUGAAUACACUUGAGAUCUUCAGGCAUCUUUGUUUGUAACCAUGGUCCCCUAUUUUUGCAUAUUUUAUGAAACAAAGUGCCUUUUUAAGCGUCAGAGUAAAAACAAUGUCAAGAGGAUAAUUUUACCAGAAUAAGAUACACCAUGUCUGAAAUGUCAAAUCAGUCAGGAUGAGUUAUUUUUUCUUGAAAACGAAUCAAAUCCUAUUGAUUUUUAAUGACUAAAGAAGGGAAGACGUCACAGCAGAAAUGCUGCUUCAUCAGCUUUAGGUGUUACAUUUAUUUGACAUUUAGCCCGAUGACCUGAGAACAGUAUCGCUACUUUUUAGGCCAUAGUUGCACUCUUUGAUUCCAGGAACUUCAAAAGGAGUUUAGCAAUGUUUUCAACUGUGAUUUAUUUAUUUAUUGUUCAUGACCAUGAUAAUUGUCUGUCAUUAUUUAUGAUUCAUUUAAGAAAUAAAGUACACCAUGCACAUAUUGAGUGCCACAGACUUCA